AAAAGCGCUGCUCUUUUUGGGCAAAAUUCAGAUAGAAGUUUAACUCUCCAGUUAUGUUUACGCAUAAUGGGCUGAACCUGUUUAGCAAUUUUCUCCAGAAUCUUGUUCGCUUCUUCAUUUUUCGGUUUACGCUUCAAAGCUUUGAUUUCCCAUACCUUAUUAAGAUCGCCCAAAUCAUUCUUCUAAAGCAAACCCUAGAUUUUUCUGAU
rnacentral:misc_RNA from 1 species